rnacentral:rRNA from 1 species
GACGAACGCUGGCGGCGCGCCUAAUACAUGCAAGUCGAACGAGUACGGACUUCGGUCCAUAUGUACGAGUGGCGAACGGGUGAGUAACACGUGAGAAACCUGCCUCGGAGACCGGGACAACCGUGGGAAACUACGGCUAAUACCGGAUGUCCUCUAACGAUCGCAUGAUCGAUUGAGGAAAUGAUCCGUCGCUCCGGGAGGGUCUCGCGGCCUAUCAGCUUGUUGGUGAGGUAACGGCUCACCAAGGCAUCGACGGGUAGCUGGUCUGAGAGGACGAUCAGCCACACUGGGACUGAGACACGGCCCAG